rnacentral:rRNA from 1 species
GUCCACGCCCUAAACGAUGUCUACUGGUUGUUGGGGUUUUCGAACCUUGGUAACGAAGCUAACGCGAGAAGUAGACCGCCUGGGGAGUACGGCCGCAAGGUUAAAACUCAAAGGAAUUGACGGGGGCCCGCACAAGCGGUGGAUGAUGUGGAUUAAUUCGAUGCAACGCGAAAAACCUUACCUGGUCUUGACAUGUCGAGAACCCUGAAGAGAUUUGGGGGUGCCGCAAGGAACUCGAACACAGGUGCUGCAUGGCUGUCGU